AGACCCGAAACCCGGUGAUCUAGCCAUGGGCAGGUUGAAGGUUGGGUAACACUAACUGGAGGACCGAACCGACUAAUGUUGAAAAAUUAGCGGAUGACCUGUGGCUGGGGGUGAAAGGCCAAUCAAACCGGGAGAUAGCUGGUUCUCCCCGAAAGCUAUUUAGGUAGCGCCUCGUGAAUUCAUCUCCGGGGGUAGAGCACUGUUUCGGCUAGGGGGCCAUCCCGGCUUACCAACCCGAUGCAAACUGCGAAUACCGGAGAAUGUUAUCACGGGAGACACACGGCGGGUGCUAACGUCCGUCGUGAAGAGGGAAACAACCCAGACCGCCAGCUAAGGUCCCAAAGUCAUGGUUAAGUGGGAAACGAUGUGGGAAGGCCCAGACAGCCAGGAUGUUGGCUUAGAAGCAGCCAUCAUUUAAAGAAAGCGUAAUAGCUCACUGGUCGAGUCGGCCUGCGCGGAAGAUGUAACGGGGCUAAACCAUGCACCGAAGCUGCGGCAGCGAACGUAUCACUUAAA
rnacentral:rRNA from 1 species